AUUUUACACAUUAUGUCCUGACUUCUUUCUGGUUUCUAUCGGCCUCCUACUGUCCCCGUCCCUGCUUCGUGAUUCGUGAAUCGUGAGUCGUGACUCAUGAGUUGUGCUUUAGUAGAGAGUGGCAACGCUGUUAAUCAAUGAUUAGGAAUUUUCAACCCAGUCUGCUGUUGCAUGAUAGACGAACGAAAUAACGAAUCACUUUUAGUUGAAUUGAAUUAACUUAAAUGUCGGGUUUCGAUUUUGAGGGUGAAGGCGUAUCAGGGUGGCCAUAUUGUGAGUGUUGCAAAGACAAUACAAGUCUUGAGCUAUCAGAUGCUAUUAAAGAAGUAAAAGCAGUAAAAUGUGUCAAGAAUUGCUAUGUCAGUGGGUUUCCAAAUUUGAUGAUAUUUGUGCUCUUCACUUCUGGCUGAAAUGUCUUCCCGAGUAAGCAAUAAGGAAGUUCAGGAACUGUUCUGCCAUAACAGAAACUGAAUUUCUAUAAAUGAAUUCAAAAUUAUUGAAAUUCAAAUCAAAGCUACUAUCCUCAGGGAUGCUGCCAAGCAAGAAGGUCAACACAAUUUGAAA